rnacentral:rRNA from 1 species
ACGAGUGGCGGACGGGUGAGUAAUGUCUGGGAAACUGCCCGAUGGAGGGGGAUAACUACUGGAAACGGUAGCUAAUACCGCAUAACGUCGCAAGACCAAAGAGGGGGACCUUCGGGCCUCUUGCCAUCGGACGUGCCCAGAUGGGAUUAGCUAGUAGGUGGGGUAACGGCUCACCUAGGCGACGAUCCCUAGCUGGUCUGAGAGGAUGACCAGCCACACUGGAACUGAGACACGGUCCAG